rfam:Capsicum annuum cultivar Zunla-1 chromosome 12, whole genome shotgun sequence
UAAUGAUGGUGAGGGCAAUUUUUGAGCAUACCCUUAAACCUCUCCCAAGCUUUAUAGAAAUUCUCUCCUUCUUUCUGUCUGAAACUCAGAAUCUCAGUUCUCAAACA